rnacentral:rRNA from 1 species
AUUGAAGGCUGGCGGCAUGCUUUACACAUGCAAGUCGAGCGGCAGCGCGGGGGCAACCCUGGCGGCGAGCGGCGAACGGGUGAGUAAUGCAUCGGAACGUACCCUGGAGUGGGGGAUAACGCCGCGAAAGCGGCGCUAAUACCGCAUAUGCUCUGAGGAGGAAAGUGGGGGACCGCAAGGCCUCACGCUCUGGGAGCGGCCGAUGUCCGAUUAGCUAGUUGGUGGGGUAAAGGCUUACCAAGGCGACGAUCGGUAGCUGGUCUGAGAGGAUGAUCAGCCACACUGGGACUGAGACACGGCCCAGACUCCUACGGGAGGCAGCAGUGGGGAAUUUUGGACAAUGGGGGCAACCCUGAUCCAGCCAUGCCGCGUGAGUGAAGAAGGCCU